AGAUGUGAGGGCGAUCUGGCUGCGACAUCUGUCACCCCAUUGAUCGCCAGGGUUGAUUCAGCUGAUCUGGCUGGCUAGGCGGGUGUCCCCUUCCUCCCUCACCGCUCCAUGUGCGUCCCUCCCGAAGCUGCGCGCUCAGUCGAAGAGGACGACCAUGCCCGAUAGAGGAGGACCGGUCUUUGGUCAAGGGUAUACGAGUAGCUGCGCUCCCCUGCUAGAACCUCCAAACAAUCUCUCAAAAGGAGAAACAUAUGGUUGGUUUUGCAUGGGGGAAUACUAUAUAAUAGGGAGAGGAAAAAGAUUGAAAGUGUGAGUACUGAAAUU
rnacentral:snRNA from 1 species